rnacentral:lncRNA from 1 species
UGUCCAUAUACAUAGCACGUAGUGUAGAGAGUCUCUCAGUAUCACAGUCUAUGAAGUACUGAAAGAUUUGAUUAGCAGCCUGUAGAAUUGUGGUGAGAAAAUACACCGAAUCUCAGUUAUUUCCUCUUUCCACAUAGGUCUCACCCAUGUUUGAGUGAAAAGUUCUAGGAGUCCAGCUUUGCUCUCCAAUGUCAAUUUACUUUGUCAAAUCUUUACAUCUUGUGAUUCCACCAUCUUGGCAAGCGUCUUCUUGAUCCUCAAGGCAGUGAGUCUUGAAGCAGGAUUGUGAGCCCAGCAUUCAGACAUUAAUUUUAAUAUUGCUCUUAAACAUUCAUCACUAUUCCAUCUGUUAGAUACUACUGGGCGCAGACGUUUGACACACACCACUUCUCUCAUGUCCUCAUAAGAUGGAUCAUUUGGCACCAUGUCAUAGUAUGGCAACUGGUACUCUUCAACAAUACCUCCUGUGACACAGCG